rnacentral:rRNA from 1 species
GACGAACGCUGGCGGCGUGCUUAACACAUGCAAGUCGAACGAAGUGGCGAACGGGUGAGUAACGCGUAAUCAACCUGCCCUUCAGAGGGGGACAACAGUUGGAAACGACUGCUAAUACCGCAUAAUGAAGGAGGGGAUUGCGUCUGAUUGGGUAGUUGGAGGGGUAACGGCCCACCAAGGCGAUGAUAGGUAGCCGGUCUGGGAGGAUGAACGGCCACAUUGGGCCUGGUACACGGCCCAGACUCCUACGGGAGGCAGCAGUGGGGAAUCUUCCGCAAUGGACGAAAGUCUGACGGGGCAACGCCGCGUGAGUGAUGACGGCCUUCGGGUUGUAAAGCUCUGUUAAUCGGGACGCGGUACCGGAAUAGAAAGCCACGGCUAACUACGUGCCAGCCGCCGCGGUAAUUC